UCCUCGAUAGCUCAAUGGUAGAGCACUCGGCUGUUAACCGAGUUGUUGUAGGUGCGCGGAACGA
rnacentral:tRNA from 1 species